rnacentral:lncRNA from 13 species
AUGCUGCUGGCACCCGCUCCAAGCGCCCGCUCCAUCGCCAUGGCAACCAAGAGCCCGAAUACUUGUCCACAUACUUUAGGAACCUCAUUAAAUCAGGCAGCAGGACAGCAGCUGUGGGCUCAAUGUGUUAUGGUGACAGCCAGGGAUUCAGUUUAUGAUGCUCAGUUUGGCUGCCCCUGCCUUACUCCCUGUGCAAGGAGCUCCGCUGUCCCCAGGCUUGUCUCGGCCAUGGAACCAGUCCCUUGUCCAUCACUGAGCCAGCCCAGCUCUGCUUUACUGGCUGCUCCUCCCUGUGUGACCUGGGGAUGCUCAGGCAAAGUCCAGGAGCUGGGAAUCCCCAGGGGAAAUUGCAUCUUAAAUCACAAAAAAUCCAUGGAAACGAUGCAGGACCAGUAAGUAUUUACAUGAUGGCAGUAGUGGAUUUGCCAGGUACAAUGAGGAAAAGUUCUUGUCUAGGAGAGCAGAUAAAAUACUCUCUUAUUUUAAUUAAAGUAAUUAUUCAUGGGACUCCAGAUGUUUAAAAAAAGAAAAAGAACAAACCCCUUUGCCUAACAGUGAAUAGUAACAUAAAUCGCCUGAGUUCUCUGUGCCAGGACAGAAUGGAUCCACUAAUCAAUAUAUCUCUCCAGUUUUAUGAAAUAACGUUAAUUGCUAUUGCUGUCAAUACUUCUAUGGGAAAUAAUUUAAUAGAAGAUUAUUGUCGAUCUAUUACUUUUUUUUUUUUUAAAUCCCAUUCAUUAGAAUUAUAUCCUUCUGCGAGUUGUCUGGAAAAAAAGGGCUCUGAAAAGGACUCCCUGCUGUACUAAAUUCUAUAGGCCUUCAGAGGAAAUUCCAUAGAGCUGUAUGACAUUUCUAUAGAUUUAAUUCCUGGUGCUUUCUGUGGGAGUUUUUCCCCAGGAGGACACAUGUGAGAGAUCUAAUGCUCUAUUUGUAUGUGCUUCAGACCUCAGUGGUUUUCAUCCUUUUUUUGUUUGUGGGCUACCAAAAUAUUUUCCACUAGAACAUGUGGGCUCUUGUGUAUUGAAUUUGCGCUCAGUGACCAUAGACUUCACUGCUUUAUGUGGGAAUUACUCCAGUGAAUCUCUGGACAUCAAAUUGGGAACCGCUGCUUUAUUUAUUUCCUUUAUGCUGACCAUGGAAUAGAAAAUGUAACCACCACUCCAUGUGUCUGGAAGCAGCUGAGAAUAGCUCGUAACACAUUACUGUAAUCAUCACUAUUGUCAUUUAUUAAUUUACACAGAUUCACAUCUGCUUUUCCAGAGUGAAGAUCAGGCUGGAAAUACCCCUGAAGUAAGAAAACAGGAACAGUUUGAAACCAUAAGCGCUAUUGCUGCCAUGGUUUCGGUUGUCAGAGAAGCAGCAUUAGGGGAAUGGAGGGGGUACCUGAGGAAAAAAAUAUACCCAGACUGCUGGGAAACUCAAAAUAUGAGAGUGUGCAGAAAAUAAAAAAUCUACAACCAUCGCAGAGAAAUUCAGUUUGUGUUUGAAUGUGUCCAGUGGUUGGUUCUCACCGAUACUCAUUAAAAUAUGAGGAUCAGUGGCCUAUUCUUUCCAACACCAGCAUUUUGCUGCCAUUUAGGUAUUGAAAGACAAAAGCAGAACCCUUAUAAUAUUAGAUAAUUAGAUUUUCUUGACUUCUAGGCAGGGAGUGUUUGCUGUUGUAUCCCUCUCAGUGCGUAAGACAGACAAAUCAGCUGUGAAAGUGUUUCUUUCUGGCUUGGAGAAAUCACACAGAUGAAGGAGCAGAAGUUUUAAAUUAUCCUCAUGUAAAACAAUUCUUGAGUUGGGGUAGACUUUUUUAAAUGUUGCAGGACCUUUACAAAUCCCCAUGAAUCAGUGCAUUUGGAAUCUUAUGGAACAGGUUCAAAAACUGUCAAAAAGGUCUAUUCAAUAUUGAAUAUGCUUGCACUGUGAAUAGCAGAGAGGAAAAUCCAAUGUCUGCCAAAGGAAUGUAAAAAGAACUGAUAAAACAAGCAGAAAUCGGUUCUUUCAACUCCACAAGGUUUUGUUUCUUUUUUCUUUUUCUUUUUCUUUUUUUAUUUUAAGUAAAAAAGACAUAAACACAAAAGCUGCAGUUGACAGUGUCUCUUUGACAGCACUUUUGUAGCCAUUUAAGCAAAACAAUGCAAAGCAGCUUUCUGGAGACCACUGGCAGAACAUACUGUAGCUUUCAAACUUCACACAGGCUGCUGAGAAAUGAAAUGUUUGACUGAGAAGCUGAUGUGGGUUUGGCAACAUUGCUUAAUUGAUAGUGUGAAAAGAUAGAGGAUUCUGCUUCCACCAUCUGCAACAGUAACGGGGACCAGCUCUUUGUCUGACAGCAUCUGUAGCCUUUCUCCCACCUCUGCCUCACCAAAACAGGGGAAUUGCAAGGAAGGAGUGCAGCACGUGCACCUGGGAGGAUCAAAGAGUGUGGAUUUCCUUUCAGGUUUAAUUACCGAUGUGAGGCUCCUCUUUGGUCUUGCCUUAUUCCUGUUGGCAGAAAGGUUCUUUGGAACUGGAGUUGGCUGUGCUGCGUUGGCCCUUCUGAGGCUCACAGGUCGGUGUAAACCCCAGCUGAGAGGGGUGAGGGGCUUUAAGGUAGGACUUCUGAAUGUAGGACUUCCAGGGCCACUUGUGCAUUUGGGAAUGCGAUUGGGAUCUCCUCUAUUUACAAAUUAAAAAUCUUUUCCAAGCCACUCAUGGCUCUCAUACCAAUCCUUGCUCCUCUGCUCUCUCCUUCUCCUUUGAGAGAGAUGAAUUUCUUGACUUUCCUUGAUGGACUAGAGCGUGGCCUGUUUAUUCCAAUAGCCUGUCUCUGGCAAUGGCCACUGCAGGGAAAAUGCACGAAGUAUCACCAUGGCCAGCUUAUGGGCAAGCCAGACCAGUGCAGAGCACUUCUGCCUAGUACUCAUAAAUCGUGAGCUAAAUUAAGCCCUAUGACAGAAAGUUUUCAAUCACUCAGAAAAAAACCCAACAUUUAUUUUCAGGUAACAAGAGUGGUCUCUUGUGCAAUUUUCCACACUUUUUAAUCUCCUUUCCUGUUUUCCUUUUUCAUAUGGAAAGGGUCCCAUCUAGCCCUGAUGUGCCAGAGCUUAAGCGAAGACCAAGUUUCCCAAUUAAAUUACUUGAGUACCUGUCAGACUUAGGAAUAAAG